CCUACGUGAGGCUGCAGUGGGGAAUAUUGGGCAAUGGGCGCAAGCCUGACCCAGCAACUCCGCGUGAAGGAAGAAGGCUUUCGGGUUGUAAACUUCUUUUCUCAGGGACGAAGCAAGUGACGGUACCUGAUGAAUAAGCCACGGCUAACUACGUGCCAGCAGCCGCGGUAAUACGUAGGUGGCAAGCGUUAUCCGGAUUUACUGGGUGCAAAGGGCGUGUAGGAGGGAAUGCAAGUCAGAUGUGAAAACCACGGGAGCAACCUGUGGACUGCAUUUGAAACUGUAGUUCUUGAGUACUGGAGAGGCAGACGGAAUUCCUAGUGUAGCGGGGAAAUGCGGAGAUAUUAGGAGGAACACCAGUGGCGAAGGCGGUCUGCUGGACAGCAACUGACGCUGAGGCGCGAAAGCGUGGGGAGCAAACAGGAUUAGAUACCCCAGUAGUC
rnacentral:rRNA from 1 species